rnacentral:rRNA from 1 species
GAUGAACGCUGGCGGCGUGCUUAACACAUGCAAGUCGAGCGAGAAGUUUUGAAAAGAUUCUUCGGAUGAAAUUUAAAAUGGAAAGCGGCGGACGGGUGAGUAACGCGUAGGCAACCUGCCCCAUACAAAGGGAUAGCAUUUGGAAACGAAUAUUAAUACCUUAUGAAACUUAACUAGUGCAUGCUAGGUAGGUCAAAGAUUUAUCGGUAUGGGAUGGGCCUGCGUCUGAUUAGCUAGUUGGUGAGGUAACGGCUCACCAAGGCGACGAUCAGUAGCCGACCGGAGAGGAUGAGCAGCCACAUUGGAACUGAGACACGGUCCAAACUCCUACGGGAGGCAGCAGUGAGGAAUAUUGCACAAUGGGGGAAACCCUGAUGCAGCAACGCCGCGUGAACGAUGAAGGCCUUUGGGUCGUAAAGUUCUGUUCUAGGUGAUGAAAACUGACAGUAACCUAGGAGAAAGCCCCGGCUAACUCCGUG